GAGUUUGAUCUUGGCUCAGGAUGAACGCUGGCGGCGUGCCUAAUACAUGCAAGUCGAGCGAACGGACGAGAAGCUUGCUUCUCUGAUGUUAGCGGCGGACGGGUGAGUAACACGUGGAUAACCUACCUAUAAGACUGGGAUAACUUCGGGAAACCGGAGCUAAUACCGGAUGAUAUUUUGAACCGCAUGGUUCAAAAGUGAAAGACGGUCUUGCUGUCACUUAUAGAUGGAUCCGCGCUGCAUUAGCUAGUUGGUAAGGUAACGGCUUACCAAGGCAACGAUGCAUAGCCGACCUGAGAGGGUGAUCGGCCACACUGGAACUGAGACACGGUCCAGACUCCUACGGGAGGCAGCAGUAGGGAAUCUUCCGCAAUGGGCGAAAGCCUGACGGAGCAACGCCGCGUGAGUGAUGAAGGUCUUCGGAUCGUAAAACUCUGUUAUUAGGGAAGAACAUAUGUGUAAGUAACUGUGCACAUCUUGACGGUACCUAAUCAGAAAG
rnacentral:rRNA from 1 species